UGCCAGAAUCCUAAGGGAGGCAGCAGUGAGGAAUAUUGGUCAAUGGGCGGAAGCCUGAACCAGCCAAGUCGCGUGAGGGAAUAAGGACCUACGGGUCGUAAACCUCUUUUGCCGGGGAGCAAGGGCGGGGACGUGUCCCGGCCCGGAGAGUACCCGGAGAAAAAGCAUCGGCUAACUCCGUGCCAGCAGCCGCGGUAAUACGGAGGAUGCGAGCGUUAUCCGGAUUUAUUGGGUUUAAAGGGUGCGUAGGCGGGCUUUUAAGUCAGCGGUAAAAAGUCGGGGCUCAACCCCGUCCGGCCGUUGAAACUGGGGGCCUUGAGUGGGCGAGAAGAAGGCGGAAUGCGUGGUGUAGCGGUGAAAUGCAUAGAUAUCACGCAGAACUCCGAUUGCGAAGGCAGCAUACCGGCGCUCAACUGACGCUCAUGCACGACAGUGUGGGUAUCGAACAGGAUUAGAUACCCUAGUA
rnacentral:rRNA from 1 species